CAGAAGACUUAGUCUGCUAUACGAAUUGUUAAUAACAGGAUUGUUUUUAAGCGGGUUAUGAAAGUAAAGGAAACAUAUAAAAGGAGGGACAGCAACUCUCGUUUACCGAUGCACAAUUACAGCAGACGAAGACACACGAAGUAGACGUAAACAUUAGCAGACGUGAACAGGUGUUGUUUCCCUUUCUCAAAUCAAGUCGUCUAUAGUGAGAGAUAGUGAACUACAGUAUUGGAAGAUGCCUGGAACAGUAUCAACGUACUAUAUAGACCAUAAUCUUGACGAGUAUGACUUCAUGAGUAUGGACUACCACAAACACAUCAGAUCUGCUCACAGCGGGAAGGGGAGGAGCAAG
rnacentral:sRNA from 1 species